UGUCAGAGAAAUAGACAAAUCCCACCGUAUAGCAACAAAAACGGAUAUAUUGUUGUCUCCCAGGUUGGUUCAAGUUCGCUUGGUCUUACACAACGUCCUGCAGCAAGGCCAUCCGCCAGGGACCGGGGGUAAUCGGCCAUUCCUGCAACUCGCCAGCCCCAACGGCCCCCCCCUUCAUUUGGAUUUGGCCACAACCGCUCCAUCGCUCACACGCAGCCUCCACCCAAGAAAUCUAUUGGGGUGGAUGAGCACCUGAUUCCUGCCGUCACAGUCCAAAAGAGCACAAUCCCUGUGAUGAAUGGCGGAAGGAAAGAGAAGUACACCGUUCACAAGCCUCUCCUUUUCAUACGCUGGCUGCUCUGCUGCGUCACUUUGCCGUCGCCUGUGAAUGUCCAGUUUGCUGCGCUGUGCCUGUGCCUUAAAAUUUCCAUCUUUUUCCGUCUCAGGCCACUGCAUGCAAUGACGGGGAUUACAGUUGCCGUUAGCUUGCAUGUCUCUGACUAAGGUAGCUGUACAGAAGCAAAUCUGUUUGUUAGUCAACAACACAGGGUGGAAGCGCGUAUCCUGUACACAAAGCAGAAUUACCACACAGGGCAACUUGAAGCCAAACGUGAAGCACAUCCAAUUAGAGGACAGGUAAGUGACAUUCCUAUUGGACAAUCCUUACAUUUUUUGCUAAAGUUAUCUGGCUAAAGGAAAAAAAACCUUGCAUUGUGGAAUAACCCCCCACCCCCUGUAUUUGAGAAGCUGUGACAUGAAGGUGACUAGCCCAUCGUGUUAGCAGUGGCAGUACACCCUAUGUUUUUGAGAAUAAAUAAUGAGACAAGUACAUUUAAAAUAACACAUUGCUACAGUUUUAUUGUCAUUUAAAAACACAUUUUGCACAUCUUCGUAACAAAAACAAAAUCACUAUUGUAAUAUUAUAUAAUGCAUUUUCUUUACCGCCUCUGAUGGACGUGAUGCUGAGUUCACACAGUCCUCAUAAGCCCCCACCCCCCCCUUUCAAAAGCAGCAGUGCAUGCCUGUGAUCAUGGAACAUCCGGUCGGACUUUCAACUCACUCGACAGCAGAGAAAAUCUGUUUUUUUUUUGUUUUCUUUUACUGAUAUUUAUAGUGGAUGUACAAUUAUAAAAGCCAUCAUGGAUUAUUAGAGACACACUCAGUCCUUUCUGAUGCAAUUCACUGAUAUUACAUAAUGUUUGUGAUGUUUGUGGUAGGUAAGGGUGCUGCUAAGGCAGAUGGGGGGGGGGGGGGGGUUAAGGAUAAUUCCAAGGCUAAAAAAAUUGUAACAUGAUUUGAUUGGUCUGGGUUGGAGGUCCAAUAUUUCCAGUAGCUCCCUUGCCAGUAGCUCACUAAUAAGUAGACAUGAGAAAUACAUAACAGGUACAGGUAACCGAUUGUGGAUGGAUGGAAUCUUUGGCACAAUUACACUGAUUUUCCAAAAAUGACUGUUUUAUGCCGCUUUUCAAUGUACCAAUACAGACUUGUCUUGUGAAAACAAUAUCAAGUUUAUACUCUAUUGAAAAUAAAUCUAUCCGUGAUAGUGUUGAAAAUCUGACAUCCAGAAUACUGAUCCAUGUUUUGCAUGUUUAUAGUCAAUAAUUGUCAACUACACUUAGUAUAAUGAAAUUUAGAACAAUUUCCAAAUGUGUAAUAAAAUCUGGUUGAAGACUGUUAAUUGGCUUUCGUCUUAGUCACUGCUUAAAAAAAUCAACCACAUUGAUCAAAACGUCUGGUUAAAUAGCAAAAAUGCUUAUAACCCAGCCUGAGAUAUUGUAAAUGUGAGUCAAAUCAUGUAUGAAAUAUAUUUUUCCUAAUAUGUAAAUGCAUUGUCAUGAAUGUUGCAAUAUUUCUUUUUCAACAACAUUAAAA